AUCGAGCUGUGGUGGUGGUGACUGGCAGGCUAGCACAGAGACUGGACCGUGGACGCCAGCGCUGUGUGGUGGUGCGGGUCACAGUGCCACAGCCAGGCCAGGUCACCCUACACGACCUGACCUUGCCUCAUGGGUUGUACCAGGUCAGGGUUGUCAAAAUGGUUGAGACAAGACAGCUGGAUGAGGUCACUGAUGGAGGAAGAAGAGGAGGAGGAGGAGGGGAAGAAGAAGAAGGAAGAGGAGGAGGAGGAGGAGGAGGAGGAGGAGGAGGAGGAAGGAUAAUCGUCAAAAAGCAUCAGUUUUUUGUACCCACAGAGAGGCGGAGAGAGAGGAUCCUGGUGAGAAACAGAAGGCACAACAAGAUCGCCACGUCUCAGCCCAGCAGGCAGUGGCUUCAGCUGUCUAACACUGACCUCAUCCUACGGAAAUACAGCGCACAGGAGAGACGACAAGAAAAUUCGACCUACGGAAGAAUUACUGGUGACGGGAGGGGAGGAAGAGGCCCCUGUGUCUGCUGCAAUUGCUUUAGUUUCUUUCUAGAUUACAACAACAUGACGGCUGUGCUAACUUUCAACUACAGCCUCAAUGAAUCCUGCCAGGCUGUAUGCUCUAGAACUGUGUAACUUUGAAGAAGUUACAGGUCCCCGGCACGCCUGCCUGGUUCAUGGCCGCAUCACACAAGACCAAGGUUGUAGCCAAGAACAUCUCCAGAAUUGCUCUCAUCUCAGAGGAGGCGACCAAAUACACCGCACAACAAACAACUGUACGAGCUCCGCAAGACAAGCCUGGCUCGGGUGAUCUGCGACAACAGUGACAAGCUACAGUACGUCCAGCCCAAAGUAAUGCUGGAGGCCGACUCUUUCCUUGGCUUGGCAGAGGAGAGAACAGAUCAACCAAGCAACGUCCUUCACUGACGGGUCGGUGAUCUACGGGUCCAGCAAGGAGGAGAGCGACGAGCUGCGUGCCUUCUCUGGCGGCCUACUCAAGGUGCAGCGCUGCCCGGCAAACACCCAGAUUCUUACGGCCGACACCAACCAAAUUGACUGCAAGACCUCAGGAAGAUUCAAGUGUUUGAAAUCCGGUGAUGUGCGGGUGAAUGAACACAUCGGUCUGGCCGCAAUGCACCAGCCGUUCGUCAGGGAGCACAACCGCAUUGCCGUCUUGCUUUCGGACCUCAAUGCCCACUGGACUGACGAGCAAGUGUUUCAAGAGGUGUGCAGGAUUGUGGGAGCAACUCUGCAGCACAUCACCUACACUGAGUUCCUCCCCUCUAUUCUUGGCCAGGUAUUCUAAUAUAAUAGUUAAAACCAUCAACAGGAUCAGGAAGAGGGAGAUGAAGUGAGGAGAGAGGAGAGGAGGCAGGAGAUAGUGGUCAAGAGCCUCAGGUGUGGGCCGGACACUCAUCCUAACCUCCUCCUUGCCUCCUCCUCACAUCCAUCCCAAUAUCACUGUUCUCUUUCUUCAUAUCUCUUCAUUUCUUCCCUGCAGUCUCCUUUCUAAAACUUUAUUCAUUCAAGAAAAGUUAUAUUAAAUAGGUCUUUGUCUGGAUUGUGUAUGUACACACACACACACACACACACACACACACACACACACACACACACACACACACACACACACACACACACACACACACACACACACACACACACACACUAGAUAGAAACUGUUUGGUAUUGUAUGCACCCUCUUAUCAUCUUUUCUCUCUUCCCCACACAGGGCAUUAUUGAGAAGUAUGGCCUGGCACUGCAAUCAUCAGGGUUCUUUGCUGGGUAUGACAUCAACAUCAACGCAGGCAUUGCCAAUUCUGUGUCGUCGCAGGCCCUCAAAUUUGUGGCCUCUCUCCUGCCAAAUACUGUGGCUUAUUUUGAUGUAAGUUUUGCCAGUAC